rnacentral:rRNA from 1 species
GGGUUGUGAGGUUAAGCGACUAAGCGUACACGGUGGAUGCCCUGGCAGUCAGAGGCGAUGAAGGACGUGCUAAUCUGCGAUAAGCGUCGGUAAGGUGAUAUGAACCGUUAUAACCGGCGAUUUCCGAAUGGGGAAACCCAGUGUGAUUCGUCACACUAUCAUUAACUGAAUCCAUAGGUUAAUGAGGCGAACCGGGGGAACUGAAACAUCUAAGUACCCCGAGGAAAAGAAAUCAACCGAGAUUCCCCCAGUAGCGGCGAGCGAACGGGGAGCAGCCCAGAGCCUGAAUCAGUGUGUGUGUUAGUGGAAGCGUCUGGAAAGGCGCGCGAUACAGGGUGACAGCCCCGUACACAAAAAUGCACAUGCUGUGAGCUCGAUGAGUAGGGCGGGACACGUGGUAUCCUGUCUGAAUAUGGGGGGACCAUCCUCCAAGGCUAAAUACUCCUGACUGACCGAUAGUGAACCAGUACCGUGAGGGAAAGGCGAAAAGAACCCCGGCGAGGGGAGUGAAAAAGAACCUGAAACCGUGUACGUACAAGCAGUGGGAGCACGCUUAGGCGUGUGACUGCGUACCUUUUGUAUAAUGGGUCAGCGACUUAUAUUCUGUAGCAAGGUUAACCGAAUAGGGGAGCCGAAGGGAAACCGAGUCUUAACUGGGCGUUAAGUUGCAGGGUAUAGACCCGAAACCCGGUGAUCUAGCCAUGGGCAGGUUGAAGGUUGGGUAACACUAACUGGAGGACCGAACCGACUAAUGUUGAAAAAUUAGCGGAUGACUUGUGGCUGGGGGUGAAAGGCCAAUCAAACCGGGAGAUAGCUGGUUCUCCCCGAAAGCUAUUUAGGUAGCGCCUCGUGAAUUCAUCUCCGGGGGUAGAGCACUGUUUCGGCAAGGGGGUCAUCCCGACUUACCAACCCGAUGCAAACUGCGAAUACCGGAGAAUGUUAUCACGGGAGACACACGGCGGGUGCUAACGUCCGUCGUGAAGAGGGAAACAACCCAGACCGCCAGCUAAGGUCCCAAAGUCAUGGUUAAGUGGGAAACGAUGUGGGAAGGCCCAGACAGCCAGGAUGUUGGCUUAGAAGCAGCCAUCAUUUAAAGAAAGCGUAAUAGCUCACUGGUCGAGUCGGCCUGCGCGGAAGAUGUAACGGGGCUAAACCAUGCACCGAAGCUGCGGCAGCGACGCUUAUGCGUUGUUGGGUAGGGGAGCGUUCUGUAAGCCUGCGAAGGUGUGCUGUGAGGCAUGCUGGAGGUAUCAGAAGUGCGAAUGCUGACAUAAGUAACGAUAAAGCGGGUGAAAAGCCCGCUCGCCGGAAGACCAAGGGUUCCUGUCCAACGUUAAUCGGGGCAGGGUGAGUCGACCCCUAAGGCGAGGCCGAAAGGCGUAGUCGAUGGGAAACAGGUUAAUAUUCCUGUACUUGGUGUUACUGCGAAGGGGGGACGGAGAAGGCUAUGUUGGCCGGGCGACGGUUGUCCCGGUUUAAGCGUGUAGGCUGGUUUUCCAGGCAAAUCCGGAAAAUCAAGGCUGAGGCGUGAUGACGAGGCACUACGGUGCUGAAGCAACAAAUGCCCUGCUUCCAGGAAAAGCCUCUAAGCAUCAGGUAACAUCAAAUCGUACCCCAAACCGACACAGGUGGUCAGGUAGAGAAUACCAAGGCGCUUGAGAGAACUCGGGUGAAGGAACUAGGCAAAAUGGUGCCGUAACUUCGGGAGAAGGCACGCUGAUAUGUAGGUGAAGUCCCUCGCGGAUGGAGCUGAAAUCAGUCGAAGAUACCAGCUGGCUGCAACUGUUUAUUAAAAACACAGCACUGUGCAAACACGAAAGUGGACGUAUACGGUGUGACGCCUGCCCGGUGCCGGAAGGUUAAUUGAUGGGGUCAGCGCAAGCGAAGCUCUUGAUCGAAGCCCCGGUAAACGGCGGCCGUAACUAUAACGGUCCUAAGGUAGCGAAAUUCCUUGUCGGGUAAGUUCCGACCUGCACGAAUGGCGUAAUGAUGGCCAGGCUGUCUCCACCCGAGACUCAGUGAAAUUGAACUCGCUGUGAAGAUGCAGUGUACCCGCGGCAAGACGGAAAGACCCCGUGAACCUUUACUAUAGCUUGACACUGAACAUUGAGCCUUGAUGUGUAGGAUAGGUGGGAGGCUUUGAAGUGUGGACGCCAGUCUGCAUGGAGCCGACCUUGAAAUACCACCCUUUAAUGUUUGAUGUUCUAACGUUGACCCGUAAUCCGGGUUGCGGACAGUGUCUGGUGGGUAGUUUGACUGGGGCGGUCUCCUCCUAAAGAGUAACGGAGGAGCACGAAGGUUGGCUAAUCCUGGUCGGACAUCAGGAGGUUAGUGCAAUGGCAUAAGCCAGCUUGACUGCGAGCGUGACGGCGCGAGCAGGUGCGAAAGCAGGUCAUAGUGAUCCGGUGGUUCUGAAUGGAAGGGCCAUCGCUCAACGGAUAAAAGGUACUCCGGGGAUAACAGGCUGAUACCGCCCAAGAGUUCAUAUCGACGGCGGUGUUUGGCACCUCGAUGUCGGCUCAUCACAUCCUGGGGCUGAAGUAGGUCCCAAGGGUAUGGCUGUUCGCCAUUUAAAGUGGUACGCGAGCUGGGUUUAGAACGUCGUGAGACAGUUCGGUCCCUAUCUGCCGUGGGCGCUGGAGAACUGAGGGGGGCUGCUCCUAGUACGAGAGGACCGGAGUGGACGCAUCACUGGUGUUCGGGUUGUCAUGCCAAUGGCACUGCCCGGUAGCUAAAUGCGGAAGAGAUAAGUGCUGAAAGCAUCUAAGCACGAAACUUGCCCCGAGAUGAGUUCUCCCUGACUCCUUGAGAGUCCUGAAGGAACGUUGAAGACGACGACGUUGAUAGGCCGGGUGUGUAAGCGCAGCGAUGCGUUGAGCUAACCGGUACUAAUGAACCGUGAGGCUUAACCUUACAACGCCGAAGGUGUUU